GAUCAUGGCUCAGGAUGAACGCUGGCGGCGUGCCUAACACAUGCAAGUCGAACGGGGUGUCUGAUCUUCGGACUGGACACUUAGUGGCGGACGGGUGAGUAACGCGUGGGUAACCUGCCUCAUACAGGGGGAUAGCAGUUGGAAACGACUGAUAAUACCGCAUAAGCGCACAGUACCGCAUGGUACAGUGUGAAAAAACUCCGGUGGUAUGAGAUGGACCCGCGUCUGAUUAGCUUGUUGGCGGGGUAACGGCCCACCAAGGCGACGAUCAGUAGCCGGCCUGAGAGGGUGAACGGCCACAUUGGGACUGAGACACGGCCCAAACUCCUACGGGAGGCAGCAGUGGGGAAUAUUGCACAAUGGGGGAGACCCUGAUGCAGCCGACGCCGCGUGAAGGGUGAAGUAUUUCGGUAUGUAAACUUCUAUCAGCAGGGAAGAUGAUGACGGUACCUGACUAAGAAGCCCCGGCUAACUACGUGCCAGCAGCUGC
rnacentral:rRNA from 1 species